UACGUAGGGGGCGAGCGCUAUCCGGAAUUACUGGGUGUAAAGGGAGCGUAGACGGCGAGGUAAGCCUGAAGUGGAAGCCCGCGGCCCAACCGCGGAACUGCUUUGGGAACUGUUUUGCUGGAGUAUGGGAGGGGUAAGCGGAAUUCCUGGUGUAGCGGUGAAAUGCGUAGAUAUCAGGAGGAACACCGGUGGCGAAGGCGGCUUACUGGACCAUAACUGACGUUGAGGCUCGAAAGCGUGGGGAGCGAACAGG
rnacentral:rRNA from 1 species